GUGUUCUUUCAUCACUUUUUGUUGCCACUCUAGCAAUCAUUGUUCUUUACCAUUCAUUACUCUUGCUAACUCUAGCAAUUAUAUUCUUUACAUUCUUUACUUUUGGCUACCUCUAGCACUUCACGUUCUUUACUCCCCACAUUACUUUAACUUUAAACAUUGUCAUUUUCAUCGUUCUUUACAAUACAUUGGUUCUUUACCUCACACUAUCUCUAGUGUCAUUUCACUUUAACUUUAUCGAAUGCCACUCGAUCUAUGUCAUUGUGUCACUCUGUUCUUUUGCACACUUUGGGUGCUCACUUUCCUCUCAUGCAUACACAUAG
rnacentral:lncRNA from 1 species